CACGUAGGGCGCAAGCGUUGUCCGGAAUUAUUGGGCGUAAAGAGCUCGUAGGUGGUUUGUUACGUCUGCUGUGAAAACCUAGGGCUUAACCCUGGGCUUGCAGUGGAUACGGGCAGACUAGAGGUAGGUAGGGGAGAAUGGAAUUCCUGGUGUAGCGGUGAAAUGCGCAGAUAUCAGGAGGAACACCGGUGGCGAAGGCGGUUCUCUGGGCAUUACCUGACGCUGAGGAGCGAAAGCGUGGGGAGCGAACAGG
rnacentral:rRNA from 1 species